CUGGGUGUACACGGUCGUGUGCACUGGACAUGCACAUGAGGAACAUGAUAACAGCACUGGAACAAAUGGGCAAAUGGCUCUGCCUGCCUGUGAAAUCUCCAGAGGUCAGCUUAUGACACUGGAACUUGUCGGGAUUCAGGCUGCAGCAUCUUCCCGGAAAAAGAUGGCUUCCUGCAUCCUCUAGCCCUCUUGGCAAAGAUCUCUCUUCCAGGAAGGGCCACUGGGGCAGGAAGAAAAAUACAGUUCUAUAGAAUUGCUUCUGUUGCUGAGUCUACCUGCUGGCCAUUGGUGCUUUGGCUUAUGACUCCUGUCCAGAAAGAAAGCAGCCCUGUGACAGAGGACAAGUGAGACGCCUGAGCCUUCCGUCGCCCGCCCGCCCUUUCCUCCCACGGCUUCUGUAAGAUUACGAGGGGGAGAGCAUGCCACUCUGCUUUUUCCAUCUUACGAAUGGGCAGCGCUUAGAUCCUGUAAGAGCUGUCCCUGUGCUGUGUGAGCUGAAGAGGCUAAAGGGGAGACAUCCACAACUGUGGCUCAUGGAGCUACGGGAGUCUAGGGUUGAGUGUUGCUGAGUUUCCCAUUAUGCUUCAGAAUUUUGAAAUACUUUACAGAACAAUUCAACUGAUUGUGUGUCUUAGUCUCUUUCCUGUUGCUGUGGUAAAAUACCCUGACAAAGGCACAUUAAGAGAGAGGGAGGUUAUUUGACUCUUAACUGGAGGAAGGUCACAGCAGCAGGACUGGGGAGAGCUAGUCACAUGACAUCCAGUAGGGGAGAGCAGCAGAGUGACACAUGGCUGCCAGUGCUGAGCUUCCUUACAGAUUUUAUGUAGUCCAGGAUCUCCUGCUGAGGUAGGGGUUCCAACUGUGGUUAAGAUGGGCCUUCCAGCAUCAGUUAGUUUAGUCAAUACAAGCCCUCACACAUCGUCUCACAAACUAACCUCAAUUCAGACAAUGACUCUAACCAUCGCCCUCACACAUCUAUUUUCUAAUUGACUAUCAUUGGAAGGGUUGGAGAAAACCAUGUGGAUAACUUCCCUCUGCAAGGCCACCUCCAUGUGCGGUGGCAGUGGAGGCCAAGAGAAGGUGACAGGCUGGAGAAACCAUGUGGUAGUUAAGAAUAGUUGCUGCUCUUGAAGAGGACUGGAGUUCACUUCCCAGCACCAGCAACGGUUGCCUGUGACUAGUUCCAAGGCAGCCAAUGCCCUUCCUAGACUCCCCCGGCACUCACGCUCAUGCAGGAUAAAAUAAAAUUUUAAAAAGGACCGAUGUCCAAAUCAUGUUACACUUGAUAACAGAAACAUGCCCAUCGCCUAUAGUAUCAGCAUUUGAUUAGUUAAAUGGUUUUAAUCGUUUCAGUCCUAAUAACAGAAUGAGAGAGAACCUCAGUGACGUGUCCACCAGGAACUGCUUCUUUCAUCCUGAUAUUCUAGACACAUAGUUUUGGUUUAUUGUUUUGUUUUGUUUAACAUAAUAGGGAAUUCUAGUCAGCUGAUCACUUGUCGUGAGGACCGGCACAGCAGAAUGGCGGUGUAGUUAUUGGCUGGAACUGGGAUCACUUAAGCAUCUGAUUCGCCAAGAGCCACCACAUCACAUGUAAUUCACUGACAGUGCCCCAGUCUGUGAUCCACCUUCAUUCAGUUCUUGCCCUUCUCUGCUUCCCAGUGUUCCACAGAACCUAGAAAUAAAAUAAAGAGCAUCUGUCCUCUC